GGAGCAAAUUGAUGAGUCUCUACUGACACCUAUUGACUCUAACUAGGAACUUACCCUUGAAAAUACAAGCAAUGUCAAGGUUUCGCUAGAAACCUUGAGGCAGAAUGUUGAACACUAGAUGGAACUAUUGUAUCAUUAUUAUACAUAGAAAAACCUUGUCACUGGACUUCAUAACUGUGGAGGGCAGUCUAUUGGAGGAGGACAGACAAAGAUGAUCUGUCAUAUAACUGAUCAGGAGGCAUAGAGAACAUCUCGGUGGUUGUGGCUGAAUAGUGAGAAGCAGUGGACGAGCCACCUGCCACACUUGGGCUUGAUCAACCCAUCCUUCAGAAGGGGUAGUGGGCAGCACAUGUAGGAUAAGUAGUACCUCACCUGAAGAUCAGCCAGGAGCUGCAGAAAUGGCUCUUUGUGGGCCCACCCCUCUCCUCUGUCUCAUCGACAGCCAACCUGUGUACAUGUUGAGACGUCUCAUGAAGGUUCGACCUCGGGGCAGGGGAUUCCAGUACCUGGUUGACUGGGAGGGUUAUGGCUCGGAGAAGAGGUGCUGGGUCCCCGCUAGGGACAUCCUGGACCCAGGUCUCAUCACUGAUUUCCAACGCUGGCACCCCGGUCAACCAGGGCAAUUGAACUUAUUCCAGAGGCUGCUCCAAAACACCGCCGGCGGAGAAGAGGUAUUCAGAGUGGACUUCUAGUCCGACUCAGGAGGCCUGCACACCAUCCACCACAUCCGAGUAUAUUACUCGCUAAGGUUCAGUGUCUGGAUAACAAAGUAGAC
rnacentral:lncRNA from 1 species